UCCCUCGGGAGGGGGCGGGGCCGGGGCUGGACAGGCCGAGGCGAGUCCCAGCGACGAGUCCGGCCGCGCAGCUCGCGGGGUCCGGGAUGGCCCUGGCGCUGCGCCUGCUGCUGCUGCUGGGGGCCGCUGCCCUGCCGGGGGGCCGCUCCCGCCUGCACUCCACGCGCAUAUACAACACAGUGGUGUCGGAGCCUGGCCCAGGGCUGCCCUGGUACAGCGCUGUCGGCUACGUGGAUGAUCAGCUCUUCGUGGACUACACCAGCGAGAAGCGGAGGGUGGAGCCACACACAGAAUGGAUGGCUCGGAACGUGGACCCACAGCACUGGGAUGAGCAGACCUGGCGUGCACGGCGCUGGCAGGCCUGGUUCAAUGCGAGUCUGAACGCCCUGCGUGAGCUCUACAACCACAACAAGGGGUUUCACGUUAUCCAGACGAUAUACGGCUGUGAUCUCCGGGAAGACAACGUCAUUCAGGGGUUUUACCAGGAUUCAUAUGACGGACGAGACUUUCUUACCUUCGAUAAGGAGACCAUGACUUGGGUAGCAGCAGAUAUUGGGGCUCAGAUCACCAAGAAGAGAUGGGAUGUUGAAAUAGGUGACAACCAGCGGUGGAAACGGUACCUGGAGGAGGAAUGUAUUCCCUGGCUAAGGAGUUCUCUAGAGUAUGGGAAGGAGACUCUGCAGAGGAAAGUGCGCCCAACAGCUAGAGUGAGCGACCGGUCAUCUCAUGAUGGCCUCACCACCCUCUCCUGUACAGUCAGAGGGUUCUACCCCCGGGACAUCACCGUGACCUGGCUGAAAAAUGGGGAGAGCAGACAGCAAGAGACCUACUCUGAAGGCAUCCUACCCAGUGGGGACGGGACUUACCAGACCUGGGUGAAAAUGGAGAUUGAUCCCAAGAUCAAAGCCCGUUAUUCAUGUCACGUGGAGCAUGAAAGCCUGUUAGAGCCACUCUCUGUCUCCUGGGAACCAAAUAACAAUCUGAUUCCCGUUGUGGCUGGAGUUAUCACUGCAGUUGUCCUGAUUGGUGUUAUAAUUGGAGUAGUCGUCUGGAAAAAGAAACGCUCAGGGAAGAAGGGAGAUGGCUACACUAUAGCUUCAGAGGAUGUUGAUCAGGUGGUUCCGCAGUUUCUUUGAGAGCGUGUGGCACAAGCUGUCAGCAUAGUCUGUGUGAAAAUGACCAAGGAUCUAGUGGCUCUGACCUAUCUGCCAAGGCUUAACUGAGCCUGUUGGAGUCUGUGCCACGACGUGAGGGGAGCCCAGAGAGGAAGAUGGAUGAGCUCUGCUCUGUCUCCCUGCAAGAACCAGUCAACCCCUCCCUAGCUUUUCUCUGGCACUUGGAGUGUCCUGUGUGGGAUUUCCGGCCUCAUCUGUCUGCUCACUGAACCACUUUUUGCUUUUCAGAUGUAAUAGUUUUCUGUAAUAAUGUUUUAUUUGCACAGAAUAAUUUCCAAAAUGUGAAUGGAUAAAAACUCUGUUAGUCAGAGUUUAGUAUUUGCUAGCGUUCAGUGAUGCACUCAGUGCUCUGGCUGCGCAAUGCUGUCUGCACAAGACGGUGCGCGAGAUCUGUGAGCAGUAGCUGCUUGUGUGUCUAUGGUGGGGGACGUCUGUCUUUUCUGUAGAAUUUCAUGAUUAUAACAUGGUAAAUGGCCGGGUCUACUCGCAGCUGGCAGCGCUGUUGCUCACAUCGGCUGAGGCAUUUUGUUGGACAGGAAUAAGUGUCUGCAUUUAGUUUAUAAGUGCCUCAAAUGUCCUUUUCACCAUUGAUAGAGCCAUAGAAAUGCUGGGCUACUAGGAAUGUCAAGAGGUCGUCAAGUCAAGCCCCUGAUCUCAGGCAGCACCAAGUAAACCUAGACCAUCCUGGACAGGUGUUUGUCCAACCUGUUGUUGAAAACUUCUAAUGACGGGGGUUCUACAUCCUCUCUAGGAAACCUGUGUGAUGAAGUGGGAUAUUUUCCUAACAUUGCAUACGUAGACCGUGCCUCCAUUUCCCCAAUGCGCUGCAUGUCUAACCCAGGUGGGAGGGGAGUGCUAUUGUUGCAGAGGACCAGGUGUGACCCAGUCUAGCAGCCUGGACCCCAGACCAUGGCCUGGACACUUUUUCUAACUCAGUGACUGAUGACCCGAAGGCCCAUCCGAACUUGGAGCCAGUCAGUUAUGGGCAGCAGAGAGAACAAAGAGCUGAAGUGAGAGUCACCUGGAGAUCUGUUUGCCCGUGAAAGAAGUCAAAGAUGGAGGCGGGGCCUUGGAGGUGAUAUAGGGUGGACCGCAGAAAGAAAGUAACCUCUGGGCUGGGAACAAAGAGCGGUCUAAGCCUACCUGGAUGGGGACAGACCCAGAUGGACACCCCUGAGAACAUCUUGUGCUCUGUUCCAGACAUACAAUAAACCCUUCUGUGCUGCGCUGGCUGAGAAUCGCUGCAGGCUAGAGAGAGAGAGGCAUGCUGGAGGCUCAGAUGUGUGGUACUGGGAGGCGGAGGAGAAGCGUACAGCUUAAAUCCCGAGCAAAGCGUGACCUUAUGUAGGGUCAAUACUCUAAAGGCCGGUUCCUACCAAGGGCAUAUGGAGCCAAGAGAGCACUGGCCUGUGAGUCUGUGACAACCUGUUCCACAGUGAACUGUCCUUAUAGCUAGAGAGUUUUUCCUAAUGUGUAAUCUAAAUUCCCCCUUCUCCAACUAUCAACUGGAGAACGAUUGAUCACCGUCCUCUUCGGAGCAGCCCUUAAUACAGGGAUAGUUAAUUAUUUUUUUCAAGGUCCAAAUUUCUUGGUCAAGAUAUAGCCACGGCCCAGACUCAAGAGAAACAUUUCUCACACCACAAGUGCCCCUGUUCAACGAACACAAACAAUGCUGUGAAAUAUACCCAGGGCCUAUGUUGUUUAUAUUCUUAGUGCAUUAAAUGAAAAAUGAAAUCAAACCACUGUAUAGCCUGAAAAUAACGUCCAGGAAAGAUAACGAGGAGUCCCAUGGCACCUUAAAGACUAACCGGUUUAAUUGGGCAUAAGCUUUCAUGGGCCCACGAAAGCUUAUGCCCAAAUAAAUCUGUUAGUCUUUAAGGUGCCACCGGACUCCUCGUUGUUUUUGGGGAUACAGACUAACACGGCUACCCCCUGAUACUUGUCUCCAAUUUAUCUGAAACAUUGAGAAAGUAUUUAGAAAAAUGUCAAAUAGAUGCAAAUAUUAGCAUUAAAAAUACUUUCAGGCAACA